rnacentral:rRNA from 1 species
GGGGUAGGCGUAACACGUGAGCAACCUUCCGAAAUAUGGGGGAUAGCCGGCCUAACGGCCGAGUAAUACCGCAUACGCUCUCGAUGAGGCAUUUCAUUGAGAGGAAACCUCCGGGGUAUUUCGAGGGGCUCGCGGCCUAUCAGCUAGUUGGCGAGGUAACGGCUCACCAAGGCAACGACGGGUAGCUGGUCUGAGAGGAUGGCCAGCCACAUUGGGACUGAGAUACGGCCCAG